rnacentral:rRNA from 1 species
ACGCUCGACACCUACGGAGGCAGCAGUGGGGAAUAUUGCACAAUGGGGGGAACCCUGAUGCAGCGACGCCGCGUGAGGGAAGAAGGUUUUCGGAUUGUAAACCUCUGUCUUUGGUGACGAUAAUGACGGUAGCCAAAGAGGAAGCUACGGCUAACUACGUGCCAGUAGCCGCGGUAAUCUGAGCGGGCUGGCAAGGC